rnacentral:rRNA from 1 species
CCACCAAGGCGACGAUGGGUAGCCGGCCUGAGAGGGCGACCGGCCACAUUGGGACUGAGACACGGCCCAGACUCCUACGGGAGGCAGCAGUGGGGAAUAUUGGGCAAUGGGCGAAAGCCUGACCCAGCAACGCCGCGUGAGGGAAGAAGGUUUUCGGAUUGUAAACCUCUGUCCUCAGGGACGAAGGAAGUGACGGUACCUGAGGAGGAAGCCCCGGCUAACUAC